GACGUAGGGCGCGAGCGUUGUCCGGAUUUAUUGGGCGUAAAGAGCUCGUAGGCGGUUUGUCGCGUCUGCCGUGAAAUUUCGAGGCUCAACCUCGAACUUGCAGUGGGUACGGGCAGACUAGAGUGUGGUAGGGGAGACUGGAAUUCCGGGUGUAGCGGUGGAAUGCGUAGAGAUCCGGAAGAACACCGGUGGCGAAGGCGACUACCUGGACCAGCACUGACACUGAGGCACGAAAGCGUGGGGAGCAAACAGG
rnacentral:rRNA from 1 species